rnacentral:rRNA from 1 species
GUCAGCAGCCGCGGUAAUACCGGCGGCUCGAGUGGUGGCCACUUUAUUGGGCUUAAAGCGUUCGUAGCUGGGUUAUUAAGUCCCUUGGGAAAUCCGACAGCUUAACUGUCGGGCGUCUAAGAGAUACUGGUAACCUUGGAACCGGGAGAGGUGAGGGGGUACUUCGGGGGUAGGAGUGAAAUCCUGUAAUCCUCGAGGGACCACCUGUGGCGAAGGCGCCUCACCAGAACGGCUUCGACAGUGAGGGACGAAAGCUGGGGGAGCAAACCGGAUUAGAUACCCGGGUAGUCCCAGCCGUAAACGAUGUGCGUUAGGUGUAUCGGUGACCACGAGUCACCGAGGUGCCGAAGGGAAACCGUGAAACGUACCGCCUGGGAAGUACGGUCGCAAGGCUGAAACUUAAAGGAAUUGGCGGGGGAGCACCACAACAGGUGGAGCCUGCGGUUUUAAAUUGGACUCAACGCCGGAAAUCUCACCGGAUAAGACAGCAGAAUGAUUGCCGGGCUGAAGACUCUGCAUGACUAGCUGAGAAGAGGUGCAUGG